UACGAAGGGGCUAGCGUUGCUCGGAAUCACUGGGCGUAAAGGUGCGUAGGCGGGUCUUUAAGUCAGGGGUGAAAUCCUGGAGCUCAACUCCAGAACUGCCUUCGAAACUGGGAAUCUUGAGUCCGGGAGAGGUGGAGUGGAACUGCGAGUGUAGAGGUGAAAUUCGUAGAUAUUCGCAAGAACACCAGUGGCGAAGGCGGCUCACUGGCCCGGUACUGACGCUGAGGUGCGAAAGCGUGGGGAGCAACAGGGAUUAAGAAACCCCAGUA
rnacentral:rRNA from 1 species